UACGGAGGGUCCAAGCGUUAUCCGGAAUCAUUGGGUUUAAAGGGUUCGCAGGCGGUUUAUUAAGUCAGUGGUGAAAUCCCAUAGCUCAACUAUGGAACUGCCAUUGAUACUGAUAAACUUGAAUGUAGUUGGAGUAGGCGGAAUGUGUAGUGUAGCGGUGAAAUGCUUAGAUAUUACACAGAACACCGAUAGCGAAGGCAGCUUACUAAACUAUAAUUGACGCUCAUGAACGAAAGCGUGGGGAGCGAACAGG
rnacentral:ncRNA from 2 species